UGCUCUUCCGAUCAAUUCCGGUACCGGGAAUCGAACCCGGGCCGCCUGGGUGAGAGCCAGGUAUCCUAGCC